GAUGAACGCUGGCGGCGUGCCUAGUACAUGCAAGUCGAGCGAACAGACGAGGAGCUUGCUCCUCUGACGUUAGCGGCGGACGGGCGAGUAACACGUGGAUAACCUACCUAUAAGACUGGGAUAACUUCGGGAAACCGGAGCUAAUACCGGAUAAUAUAUUGAACCGCAUGGUUCAAUAGUGAAAGACGGUUUUGCUGUCACUUAUAGAUGGAUCCGCGCCGCAUUAGCUAGUUGGUAAGGUAACGGCUUACCAAGGCGACGAUGCGUAGCCGACCUGAGAGGGUGAUCGGCCACACUGGAACUGAGACACGGUCCAGACUCCUACGGGAGGCAGCAGUAGGGAAUCUUCCGCAAUGGGCGAAAGCCUGACGGAGCAACGCCGCGUGAGUGAUGAAGGUCUUCGGAUCGUAAAACUCUGUUAUUAGGGAAGAACAAAUGUGUAAGUAACUAUGCACGUCUUGACGGUACCUAAUCAGAAAGCCACGGCUAACUACGUG
rnacentral:rRNA from 1 species